GCAUAUCUCUAAGCGGAGGAAAAGAAACUAACAAGGAUUCCCCUAGUAACUGCGAGUGAAGAGGGAAAAGCCCAGCACCGAAGGUAGUAUCCAUUUGGGUACCUACCAAUGUGGUGUUAAGGUCAGCUCACGUAGGUGCGGCUCCAUCUCAAGUCCAGCAAUGAGUACGGCUAUGGACUGAGCCCAGAGCGGGUGAAAGGCCCGUUGAGGUGGAGUUCAGAAAUGACCGCGCCUAUUGUGUUUGACCAUGGAGUCGGGUUGUUUGUGAAUGCAGCCCUAAGUGGGUGGUAAACUCCAUCCAAGGCUAAAUACUUACACGAGUCCGAUAGCGAACAAGUACCGUGAGGGAAAGUUGAAAAGUACUUUGAAGAGAGAGUAAACAGUGCGUGAAGCCGCAUAGAGGUUAAACGGGUAGAGUUAAACUGCGUGGGUCAUGGAUUCAGCCGAUGAAUUUGACUUGUGCUUGGACAAAUUGAUUCGUCCUCAGAGUCUGCUUAGCUGCAGGUCCCAUCCAGGAUUCGCGAAGCACUUACCAAGUGUUGCGUGCUCUGUUGAUGAGAUGUCAGUUCAUUGGUGCACUUCCAUGGCUCCUUGACCACGAUCGGUGUCAUUGGACUGUCCUCGUUGUCAAACUGUGGAUGUAGAACAUGUGUYUAUGUCUAUGGUGUGAUAGCACCCCUGCGUAUGCAGGUCACAGUUGGUUUCGAGAUACAAGCCGAUGGACCGGGGCGACGGCCUUGGCGUGCUCUUAUGCCCUCUAAUAGAUUGUGUUGGGUAUGGUUUUUGAGUGCUUGUGUAAGCAGGCCCAUUGACUACUCAGUGUUUUCUAUUACUGUGGUGUUGGAGUGGCCAAUAUUGAGGGCCAAAGUCAGUGGUGUGUGGUAAACUAUCUACCCGA
rnacentral:rRNA from 1 species